UGUCCCCCUCAUUGUUCAGGAGCUUAUGGAAAUACGACUGCCAUCUUUUCUUAAUUAGAACGUCCUCCACCAAAAAUUUUCCAUCCUCUCCUUUAAUGCACUUCACUUGGUCCAAAUCCCGACCCUUACACUCCCUAGUUUUGGCAAGCCUGUACAACCUCUUUUCCCCGUCUCUCUCCUCUAAACCCAAAUAAAGUCUCUCAAACGCUGCUGUCUUAGCAGUCGUAACUG
rnacentral:lncRNA from 1 species